rnacentral:rRNA from 1 species
UUGGGUGGCGGACGGGUGAGUAACGCGUAAAGAACUUGCCUCACAGAUAGGGACAACAUUUGGAAACGAAUGCUAAUACCUGAUAUUAUGAUUUUAGGGCAUCCUAGAAUUAUGAAAGCUAUAUGCACUGUGAGAGAGCUUUGCGUCCCAUUAGCUAGUUGGAGAGGUAACGGCUCACCAAGGCGAUGAUGGGUAGCCGGCCUGAGAGGGUGAUCGGCCACAAGGGGACUGAGACACGGCCCUUACUCCUACGGGAGGCAGCAGUGGGGAAUAUUGGACAAUGGACCAAGAGUCUGAUCCAGCAAUUCUGUGUGCACGAUGAAGUUUUUCGGAAUGUAAAGUGCUUUCAGUUGGGAAGAAAAAAAUGACGGUACCAACAGAAGAAGUGACGGCUAAAUACGUGCCAGCAGCCGCGGUAAUACGUAUGUCACAAGCGUUAUCCGGAUUUAUUGGGCGUAAAGCGCGUCUAGGUGGUUAUGUAAGUCUGAUGUGAGAAUGCAGGGCUCAACUCUGUAUUGCGUUGGAAACUGUGUAACUAGAGUACUGGAGAGGUAAGCGGAACUACAAGUGUAGAGGUGAAAUUCGUAGAUAUUUGUAGGAAUGCCGAUGGGGAAGCCAGCUUACUGGACAGAUACUGACGCUGAAGCGCGAAAGCGUGGGUAGCAAACAGGAUUAGAUACCCUGGUAGUCCACGCCGUAAACGAUGAUUACUAGGUGUUGGGGGUCGAACCUCAGCGCCCAAGCAAA